AUGCCAGCACACGAGGUCUUUUCACGCCUCCUGCUUACUGAGCAACGAGUCGAGACGCGCCGAUCCAGGGGCAACGGCGCCCUCUCGGCAAACGCCGCCACCAAGGGUGGUCGCUUCUCUGCUUCAUCCAGGGCUCCUUCGGGGCAGUCACCAUCACCCGCCUCGGCCCCUCCUCCUACUGCGACGCUACCAGGGGCUGGCGGUCCACGUGUGUGCCAGCUUUGUGGUCGUGAUGGGCACUGGGCCUCGAAGUGUCACAAGCGCUUCCAGCGGGGUUUUCUUGGUCUCGGCAAUGACGGGAAGGAUACACGCAACUUUGCUCGUCAGGUCGCCAUGGCUGAUCGUCCGCCGCCGCAGAAGCCACAGGGACACACUCAGUCCUACUCCAUUGAUCCCCACUGGUACAUGGACUCUGGGGCGACAGAGCACCUGACCAGUGAGAUGGGGAAGCUUCACACUCGUGAACCCUACCAUGGCUCCGACAAGAUCCACACCGCCAAUGGAGCAGGAUCGGGGCACGAGGGACAUUCUUCUUAG
rnacentral:rRNA from 1 species